rnacentral:tRNA from 1 species
CGUCCCCCGGCAGUAGCGCCGCGCCAUCUGGCGCCGUUACACGAACUCGCUUCCCGCUGCGUCGGUAGUAGGCGUA